UACGUAGGGUGCAAGCGUUAAUCGGAAUUACUGGGCGUAAAGCGUGCGCAGGCGGUUUUGUAAGUCUGUCGUGAAAUCCCCGGGCUCAACCUGGGAAUGGCGAUGGAGACUGCAAGGCUAGAGUUUGGCAGAGGGGGGUAGAAUUCCACGUGUAGCAGUGAAAUGCGUAGAGAUGUGGAGGAACACCGAUGGCGAAGGCAGCCUCCUGGGCCAAUACUGACGCUCAUGCACGAAAGCGUGGGGAGCAAACAGG
rnacentral:rRNA from 1 species